CCAACUGGGCAGAGGGAUCCUCCUCCCGUCACUGCUGGAAGUUGGAUGUCAGGACUGUGAUUACAGAGAAAAAGUCCAUUUACUACAGUGGAAAACUCUUUCAAUGGCAAAGAAAGCCUUCAGGGCACUGGGCUGCAUCAACAAGGACAUCACCAGCAGAGACGAAGAAGCCAUUGUCUCACUCGGUGCUGGUCAGACCACACCUGGAGUACUGGAGUCUCUGCUACACAAAAAAAGUUGUGGAUAGACUGGUGAGUGUCCAGAGAAGAGCCACAAGAGUGAUCAGAGAACUGGAAACCCUGCCAUGUGAGAAGAGUCUGAGAAGCUGUGUUUGUUCAGCCUGGAGAAAAGAAGACUGAGGGAAAACCUUAUUAUCAUGGGCCAAUACAUAAAGGGUGGCUACCAGGAUGAUAGAGACUGCCUUUGUAUGUGAAGUUCCAUGGAGAGGAUAACGGGUGAUGCAAAAAAGUUACUACUGGAGGCGUUCCCAUUGCACAGUCAGACACUGGAAUCACCUCUCAGGGGAAGCUGUGGGGUCCUCUACUCUGGUCAUUUUUAAGACUCAACUUGACAGCAUUCUGGGCUAGCUCAUUUUGACACUCUUACUGCCUAGAAAGGUCAGACCAGAUGAUUGUUGGGGUCCCUUCCAGCUUGGCCUUCUGUACAAUUCUGUUCUAUCCCAGCACAAGUGGUCAGACUCUUUCCCAGAUCUCAAGUUGGUGUGUUAUGUGUAAGACAGAAGGGGGAAAAAAAAAAAAGAGCAAAAAAGUCAGAUUGUGGCUGAAUUUUGCCAGCACACUGACUGCACAGCACCCACUCCUAACACUCAACCUUUGUUGCCAUGAAUCUGGCAAACAUCACACAACUCUGUCUAUGAAAACCAGAAAUGCUUUGAUCACCAGCAGUGAUUUACAAGCUUUCAAAAUAUCUGUGUGCAAGAGAGAAUCCAUAACUCCACUGACAAAGCCGAUUGCUUCUAUGCUGAUGUUUGCCAGAUCCUGCACAGUUUAGCUGAGUAUCAUACCAGAACAGCCAAAUUAUUCUAUCAGUCUGUAGGAAUCCACAAGUUUGAUAAUACUUGUUUGUCAUAACAAGACUUAUCAGGCUGCAAUGGUGAUGAGAGCUUCCCACUUAAAGUGAUAACAAAUAAGCAAACUCUAUCAUCCUGACUGGGAUGAGUGGGUUGCACACUAGGGCACUAGAAAUUUCAUAUUAAAGAUACCUUUCUCAGCACUGAAGCCAAGUAGGUUUCAGUGAAAGAGGAUGGAGGUACAGAGUAUGCCUUGCAAGACAAAUGAGCAUUAAUGUCUUGUUUUAUUUUACAUCACACACACAAUAAUAAAAUUAACCACUCAGAAAUCAAAUUAGAUAGUACAGUCAACACUUAAUGUAUUUAAAAAAAUGCUUAUGUCUGAAAACAUCAUGUCUUGUAUGUUCAUGUAAGUUACUCAGUUUUAGUAUGCUGCAUCCUCCUGUAAUGUUUUGUAGGAACUUAAAAUUUUACUGUAGCAUUCAAUAUUUAAGAUGUGCAAAGAAAAUGUAUUUGGGAGUGUUGAGUUUUUAAAGAUUGCAGUAAAAGUGGUUUUUUUUUUCCCUCUGUAAAUCAUGUUAAAUUUGUCUGCUUUUAGCUAUAGUGCAUACAGAUUAUAACAAUCGUAUCAAUGUACUGGACUAGGAGUUCAGUACACUUUACAGCCACUGUAUGUGAAUAAUGAACUUCUUACUAGUUAACUGAAAUUCUGGAUAUGUUGACAUUUAAUGUUUUGAAAGUGAACUCUGCAUUUUUCCUCCUCUUUGAGCUAUGAGCAUCUGCAUCUAUGCACAUUACUUUCUCUUGAUAUUUUUAUUCCGUUGUGACAUGUUAAAGGACUGUUCUUAGAAAUGUAAAUAAUCAAUCUACAAGCAGGUCACUGACUUUGAACAGCCCUGAAAAGUUGUGCUUUCUGUACUGUUGACUGGCUUCAUGUAAUUUAAUAAAUCAUACAAAUGGGCAAAUAUA